UUAGAUCAACUCCACCUAUAUGUAUAUCAAAGGGAACAUCAGCCAAACUUGGAUAACAUCUACAACUCAAUGAGUUACAAGUUAGAUCAACUCCACCUAUAUCAAAGGGAACAUCAGCCAAACUUGGAUAACAUCUACAACUUAAUGAGUUACAAGUUAGAUCAACUCGACCUAUAUCAAAGGGAACAUAAGCCAAACUUGGAUAACAUCUACAACUCAAUGAGUUACAAGUUAGAUCAACUCCACCUAUAUCAAA